ensembl:lncRNA
GGGGGUUUAGUGGGUUAUUUAGUGUGGAAGACGAGGGGGUGUUAGUGGUGUGGAAGAUGAGGGGGAUGUUAGUGGGUGAUUUAGUGUGGAAGACCAGGGGGUGUUAGUGGUGUGGAAGAUGAGGGGGAUGUUAGUGGCUGAUUUAGUGUGGAAGAUGAGGGGGUGUUAGUGGCUGAUUUAGUGUGGAAGAUGAGGGAGGUGUUAGUGGGUGAUUUAGUGUGGAAGACCAGGGGGCUGUCAGUGGCUGAUUUAGUGUGGAAGACCAGGGGUGUGUUAGUGGGUGAUUUAGUGUGGAAGACCAGGGGGUUUUAGUGGGUGAUUUAGUGUGGAAGAUGAGGGGGAUGUUAUUGGCUGAUUUAGUGGGGAAGACCAGGGGGUGUUAGUGGGUGAUUUAGUGGGGAAGACGAGGGGGUGAUUUAGUGUGGAAGAUGAGGGGAGUGUUAGUGGGUGAUUUAGUGUGGAAGACCAGGGGG